GCCAGCAUAGUGUAGUGGUUUGAGUGUUGGAUUAUGACUCCAGAGACCAGGGUUCAAAUCUCUGCUCAGCUA